AUGAACGCUGGCGGCGUGCCUAAUGCAUGCAAGUCGAGCGAACAGAUAAGGAGCUUGCUCCUUUGACGUUAGCGGCGGACGGGUGAGUAACACGUGGGUAACCUACCUAUAAGACUGGGAUAACUUCGGGAAACCGGAGCUAAUACCGGAUAACAUUUGGAACCGCAUGGUUCUAAAGUGAAAGAUGGUUUUGCUAUCACUUAUAGAUGGACCCGCGCCGUAUUAGCUAGUUGGUAAGGUAACGGCUUACCAAGGCAACGAUACGUAGCCGACCUGAGAGGGUGAUCGGCCACACUGGAACUGAGACACGGUCCAGACUCCUACGGGAGGCAGCAGUAGGGAAUCUUCCGCAAUGGGCGAAAGCCUGACGGAGCAACGCCGCGUGAGUGAUGAAGGGUUUCGGCUCGUAAAACUCUGUUAUUAGGGAAGAACAAACGUGUAAGUAACUGUGCACGUCUUGACGGUACCUAAUCAGAAAGCCACGGCUAACUACGUG
rnacentral:rRNA from 1 species